rnacentral:rRNA from 1 species
AGUUUGAUCCUGGCUCAGAACGAACGCUGGCGGCAGGCUUAACACAUGCAAGUCGAGCGCCCCGCAAGGGGAGCGGCAGACGGGUGAGUAACGCGUGGGAAUCUACCCAUCACUACGGAACAACUCCGGGAAACUGGAGCUAAUACCGUGAUACGUCCUUGCGGGAGAAAGAUUGUAUCGGUGAUGGAUGAGCCCGCGUUGGAUUAGCUAGUUGGUGGGGUAAUGGCCUACCAAGGCGACGAUCCAUAGCUGGUCUGAGAGGAUGAUCAGCCACAUUGGGACUGAGCACACGGCCCAGACUCCUACGGGAGGCAGCAGUGGGGAAUAUUCGGACAAUGGGCGAAGAGCCUGAUCCAGCCAUGCCGCGUGAGUGAUGAAGGCCCUAGGGUUGUAAAGCUCUUUCAACGGUGAAGAUAAUGACGGUAACCGUGAGAAGAAGCCCCGGCUAACUUCGUGCCAGCAGCCGCGGUAAUACGAAGGGGGCUAGCGUCGUGCGGAGUUACUGGGCGUACAGCGCACGUAUGCGGAUCGUGAAGUACGGGGUGAGAUCCCUGGGCUCAACCCUGGAGCUGCCUUGAAUACUGGCAAUCUCGAGUGAGAGAGACGUGAGUGAAUGGCUAAUGUACACGUGAUAAUUCGUACGAUUAUGCGGANGAACAUCACUUGGGCGACUGGCAGGCUUCACUUGGGCUCAGGUACCUGGACGCCCUGACGGGUGCGAANAUGCAUUCGCGGGGANCUNAAACCAUGAAAUGACGAUACUCCCUGG